GAUGAAGAACGUAGUGAAAUGCGAUAAUUAAUGUGAAUUGCAGAAUUUAGUGAAUCAUCGAAUCUUUGAACGCACAUUGCGCCCCUUGGUAUUCCGGGGAGCAUGCCUGUUCGAGCGUCAUUACAACCCUCAAGCUCUGCUUGGUGUUGGGCCCCGCCGCCCCGGCGGGCCCUAAAGUCAGUGGCGGUGCCGUCCGGCUCCGAGCGUAGUAAUUUUUCUCGCUUUGGAGGCCCGGGCGCGUGCUUGCCAUCAACCCCCAAUUUUUUUCAGGUUGACCUCGGAUCAGGUAGGGAUACCCGCUGAACUUAAGCAUAUCAAUAAGCGGAGGA
rnacentral:misc_RNA from 1 species